UGGGCUGCUAGCUCAGUCUGGUAGAGCAGGUGACUCUUAAUCACCGGGUCGGGGGUUCGAAUCCCUCGCAGCCCAU
rnacentral:tRNA from 1 species